rnacentral:rRNA from 1 species
CGGUAACAUUUCUAGCUUGCUAGAAGAUGACGAGUGGCGGACGGGUGAGUAAUACUUAGGAAUAUGCCUUUGUGUGGGGGAUAACUAUUGGAAACGAUAGCUAAUACCGCAUAACGUCUUCGGACCAAAGGGGGCUUCGGCUCCCGCGCAAAGAGUAGCCUAAGCGAGAUUAGCUUGUUGGUGAGGUAAAGGCUCACCAAGGCGACGAUCUCUAGCUGUUCUGAGAGGAAGAUCAGCCACACUGGAACUGAGACACGGUCCAGACUCCUACGGGAGGCAGCAGUGGGGAAUAUUGCACAAUGGGGGAAACCCUGAUGCAGCCAUGCCGCGUGUGUGAAGAAGGCCUUCGGGUUGUAAAGCACUUUCAGUUGUGAGGAAAGGUUAACGGUUAAUACCUGCUAGCCGUGACGUUAACAACAGAAGAAGCACCGGCUAACUCCGUGCCGGCAGCCGCGGUAAUACGGAGGGUGCGAGCGUUAAUCGGAAUUACUGGGCGUAAAGCGCACGCAGGCGGUUUGUUAAGCUAGAUGUGAAAGCCCCGGGCUCAACCUGGGACGGUCAUUUAGAACUGGCAGACUAGAGUCUUGGAGAGGGGAGUGGAAUUCCAGGUGUAGCGG